GCGUUCGUAGCUCAGCUGGAUAGAGCAACGGCCUUCUAAGCCGUGGGUCGCAGGUUCGAGUCCUGCCGAGCGCGCCA
rnacentral:tRNA from 2 species